GGACGCUAUCUUUUCCUCUCCGAACACCUAUCUCCGCUACUGCAAACACAGAGGAAGACGAUGGUCAGACUUCAUUGCUGCACAAUACAGGAGCUUCUUGAAGGAGAUGUUAAUGCUUUGAUUGAUGUUGAAUUGAGUUCUCCCAUUGAUGUUGAAUCAAUUUCAGGUUAUUAGUAAAUUAUUCAAGCAGAGAUUUAGGGAUUAUUACUCGUUUCUCUAAAGCCUUAGCACAUUCGGGACGAGAAAGUGAAGGUUCUUCAGUCGGUGGUUCCAAUUAAAGAUGAAGAGGUUGUGAUUGGACAAUAAGAAGGUUAUAGGGAUGAUCU